rnacentral:rRNA from 1 species
GACGAACGCUGGCGGCGUGCUUAACACAUGCAAGUCGAACGGAAGGGCCCUGCUUUUGUGGGGUGCUCGAGUGGCGAACGGGUGAGUAACACGUGUGUAACCUGCCCUUGACUUUGGGAUAACUUCAGGAAACUGGGGCUAAUACCGGAUAGGAGCUCCUGCUGCAUGGUGGGGGUUGGAAAGUUUAGGCGGUGGGGGAUGGACUCGCGGCUUACCGGCUUGCUGGUGGGGUAGGGGUUUACCAAGGCUUUGACGGGUAGCCGGCCUGAGAGGGUGACCGGCCACAAUAGGACUGCGGUACGGCCCAGUCUCCAACGGGAGGCAACAGUGGGGAAUAUUGCACAAUGGGCCGACGUCUGAUGCAGCAGCGCCGCGUGCGGGAUGACGGCCUUCGGGUUGUAAACCGCUUUCGCCUGUGACGAAGCGUGAGUGACGGUAAUGGAUAAAGAAGCACCGGCUAACUACGUG